rnacentral:rRNA from 1 species
CCCUUAGAUGUUCUGGGCCGCACGCGUGCUACACUGAGUGGAUCAGCGGGUCAGGUUGCGCGAAAGCGUUUCCUAAUCUUUAAAUCCGCUCGUGAUGGGGAUUGACGGUUGCAAUUUUCUGUCAUGAACGAGGAAUACCUUGUAAGCGCGGGUCAUCAUCCCGCGCUGAAUACGUCCCUGCCCUUUGUACACACCGCCCGUCGCUCCUACCGAUUGAGUUUCUCGGUGAAUACUUUGGACAAACCCUCUUAGCGGUUCGCCGCUUUUAGGGAUUGAAAAUUGGGUGAACCUCGAAACUUAGAGGAAGAAGAAGUCGUAACA